rnacentral:lncRNA from 1 species
UAAUUUCCUAUGAGUUAAUAAUAAUUUGUGAUUAUGAAAAUGUUAUUUCAUAUUUUAUGCAUUUAAUAAAGGUUAAGUAUUUAUUUAAAUACCUUAAAGAAAAGGCAUUAAACAAAUACCUAAAUUUUUAUUAUUUUUCUUAGGGUAUAAAAUUUUAAUGCAUAAAGGAAAAUAAAACAAUCCUAACAAAAUUGGUUUCACUAAUUUUGGGCACCCCUAGAAAUUUCUGUGAUUUAAAUGGUGAUAUUUGGAUUUAAUCUAUUAUUCUAUAAAGAAAAUCUAAAUUUUUCCAAAAAAACCCCGACCUACUUUUCUCACUCACUUCCUUCCUACCCCCUCUCUCUUACACUGGGCCCGCGGCUCGGACCUACCUCUUCUCCUAUUCCUUCUACCCGCCGGCCCCUUAUUCCUCUGCUGGGCUCACUAGGCCGAUUUCUUCUUCCCUUCUCUCUUUUUUUUUUCUUAACCCGGUUUCGGCGCAACGGCCCAGCUGUCCCUUUUCCUUUUCUUUCCGCAGCACCGGCCUGCUAGACCUCACAGGCCCCCGGCCUACCAAGUCGGCCCGACGGCCUUGCACCGGCGCCUGCGCCUACUGGACCCCGGCCCGCCUAAAACCUUCGCCCGGCCGGCCUCCUUCCAUCCCCUUCCUUUCUGACGUGCGGGCCCGCUGUCGCCAGUGCCUUCUUCUUUCUCGCGCCAAAACCUGAGCGCGGCAGGGGGCGGUGCGGCUCGCCGGCUGGUGCCCCACCGGCGACGGGGCCGGGCUGGGGAAGCAUCCCCAAGCUAAAGCGCACCCGCGCGCGGCGGUAGCUCCCCGGGAGGUGGCCGGAGCUACUCCCUCCACGGCGGCGGGCGGCGAAGCUAACGGCCAGCCGUGGCCAAGCACGAUGACGGCGCAACUCAUCCCUCCGACUACCCCUAGAGCUUCCUAGAGUCCCAGACACCUACCUACGGCUCACCACAAAGAAAGACAGCGACGCCAAGGAAGUGCUCACCGUGAGCAGGGGGUCUGGCGGCGGCGGAUGAGAACGGCGACGGUCACAGGCGCUCCGGCGGAGAGACUGGACAACGAGCUGCUAGGGUUGUUGGUAGGGUGUGAGUGGAGGUGUGGAUGGAAGGAAUCAGCGGGAGCUGCGGUGUGGUGGGGGAAUUUUUGAUCGGCGGCGGCGGCUUGGCAGAGGAUUUACGGGCGGCGGUAAAAGGUGACACGGUAAGCAACGGCGGCGGGAGCGGUAGUUAUUCGAAGUUUCACCAUACGCAUGGAUGACACCGUGGCCUAGCCAUAGACUUGUGUGGCGCGGAGGUGGCCUAGGUGUUGAGCUGGAUAGCGGGGCAGGGGCGCUGGCGACGACACGUCUCGCUCUCUCUGAUUUCCUUCUCCUCCUUUGUUUCCUUCAUCAGAAUGUUUAGAUUCUCCCCACGACCGAUCUUGCAUCCGACGGUCCCAAGGUCCUUUAAGCAAAGUUGCAGAUAAUCUCGAGCUCUUCAAGUUUUAUUUUGGCUCUUGCCCGAGAUAAAUAGUCAAUCGUUGGCAAUUUCAAAUGGUUUCUCCUUGGGUAACUGGAUUUUGUUGAACCUCUGAUUCAGUUCGUCAGUCACCCGAACAUGGUCAUUUACCCAUCUUCGGAAUUAUUUUCAGUGGCCCAAAUCCCUUCUUUUUAAUCCAACUACUAACCAUUCAUGCUCUACAACCAUCAGGGAUUCCAUUUUGCUCAUAAACACCCCUACUUUCUGCACUGCAUUUUCCUAACUUUUGCUCCAAACUCAAGCUCUUGCUACUGAUUCAGACUUAAGAAACAUGGCAGCUUCAGUAGCUCAGCCGAAAAUGGCAAAGUGCCAACUUUAAGCCCUAAAUUGAAUUUGUUUUCUUGGUGGUUCCUGAUCAACAACACCCUAGUAUACUUGUCCAGAGUUUAUACUUCAAUACUGUAUAGUUGCCUUGGUCCACUUAUUUGGAAAAUUUGGCAGAAAUUAAUUUCAAAAAUGGAUACUUGCACUGUUUUUCUGAAAAUCCAUUUUCGGACAGUGAACAGUACACUCUUGUUUUAAUUUUUCCAUUGCUUUUCUUGAGAUGUUUAGCACUAAGUUUAGUCUCCCAUCUUGAUUCCCAAAGUUCCUGACACUCUCAAGCUUCCAUUCCAUAUUUUUGCCCAAUUUUUCUGAAUUUGGAAUUCAAAAUUCAAUUUUCGGCCAAAUUUGACUCAAAUUUGACUUUUAGUCCAUUUGUUCUCUUUUUUCUUCAUAAUUCACCUCUAACCUUUCUUAAUCACCUUUGAUGACUUAAAACACCAGGUGUUACAGCCCCUCCCCCUUAACAGAAUCUCGUCCCGAGAUUCUAGAGGUUAAAUUUCUUAGUUUUGAGAAUGGAAAGGAAACUUCCUCAGACACAAUAUCUGCCUCUUGUCUGUAUAAAGAAAGUGGGGUGGUGGCUUUUGUUCAUCUGAUCUUGACAGUUUCAAAUAGCUCGGGAUAUUUGGACUCCAAGUCUUCAGCCGGUUCCCAAGUAGCUUCAUCUGGAGUGUGAUUCUUCCAUUGUACCUUGUAAAACGUAAUACUUCGAGUUCGGGUAUCUCUUGUCUUUUGAUCCGGAAUUUUAAUAGGCCUUUCCUCGUAAGUCAGGUUUGGUUCGAGCUCAAUUUCUGGAUCUUCUAGAAUUUCUUCUGGAACUCUUAAACACUUCUUAAGCUGGGACACAUGAAAUACAUCAUGUAUAGAAGUAAGUUGGUCUGGUAAGGAAAGCUUGUAUGCUACCGGACCUUUUCGUUCCAGAAUCUCACAAGGACCAAUAUACCUUGGGGCUAGUUUACCUUUUAUUCCAAAAUGUUGCACUCCUUUCAUCGGAGAUACCUUCAGGUAUACAAAGUCUCCGACAUGAAAUUCCAAAGACCGUCUCCUUUUAUCCGAAUAACUCUUUUGUCGAGACUGGGCUAUUUCUAAAUGUUUACGAAUCUUCCGGACCUUUUCUUCAGUUUCCAUAACUAAAUCUGAUCCCAAAUGUGUCCUUUCUCCUACUUCUGACCAAUUCAAGGGGGUUCGGCACAUUCGACCAUACAAAGCUUUGAAAGGUGCCAUUUUAAUACUAGCUUGAUAGCUAUUAUUAUAUGAGAAUUCAGCUAGGGGCAAACAUUCAUCCCAUAGCUUAGAGAAGGUAAGGACACAAGCUUGUAACAUGUCUUCCAAGAUUUGGUUGACUCUUUCUGUUUGUCCCCCUGUUUGAGGAUGAUAGGCAGAGCUCCUGAUCAAAGUAGUUCCCAUGUCUUUUUGCAAUUGUUCCCAAAACCUGGAAACAAACUGGGAGCCUCGAUCGGAGAUAAUUGUCUUUGGUACUCCAUGUAGAGACACUAUCCGGGCUAUAUAGAUCUUUGCAUAUGUCGAUACUGGAUAUGUAGUCUUGACGGGAAUGAAAUGGGCUAACUUAGUAAGUCGGUCAACAAUAACCCAUAUGGAAUCAUACCCUUUUGAAGUAGUAGGCAACCCAACUAUGAAAUCCAUGGAAAUAUCCUCCCAUUUCCAGACAGGGAUUUCCGAAGGCUGAAGCAAACCCGCCGACUUUUGUAGGAUUGGUUUAACUCUUCGGCAGGUGUCGCAUUCGGCUACAUACCUUGCAAUUUCAAGUUUCAUCCUGGCCCACCAAAAUCUCUGCUUUAAAUCUUGGUACAUCUUGUUGCUUCCGGGAUGGUUGGCGAACUUAGAUAGGUGUGCUUCGUCCAAGAUCAACCUUCUUAGGUUUUCAUCCUUAGGAACUACUAUCCUCUUCUUAAAAUAUAGUCCCCCAUCCUCUUCUUGAGUGAGUUCAGAAAUCUUUCCUUCUGCUUUCUGUUUAUAAAGUACCUUGAUCCAUGGAUCCAAUCUCUAGGCUGUUAUAAUUCUGUCCUUGAGAGUGUCUUGCACAAUAAUGUUCUGGAGGGCACCUUGUGUCACUAUCUCCAAGCUUAAAUCUUCUAAUUCUUCACACAUGGUAUUAAGGCUAGAUUGAAUAGUAGUGCAGUGGCAUUAGGCUUUUCUGCUCAAAGCAUCGGCCACCACAUUAGCCUUGCCAGGAUGGUAGUGGAUUUCCAACUUAUAAUCUUUAAUUAGUUCCAGCCACCGUCUCUGCCUCAUGUUCAAGUCCAUUUGAGUAAAAAUGUACUUUAAGCUUUUGUGGUUAGUAAAGAUACGACAUUCACUACCUAAAAGAUAGUGCCGCCAUAUCUUUAAUGCAUGGACUACAGCAGCAAGCUCCAAAUCAUGGGUAGGGUACUGCUCUUCAUGACGCUUCAGUUGUCGAGAAGCAUAAGCAAUAACUCUACCUUCUUGCAUAAGAACACACCCUAUCCCUGUCCCUGAGGCGUCACAAUAUACGUCAAAGGGCUUCUCUAAAUCAGGUUGAGCUAGUACUGGUGCUGUAGUUAGUAGCUUCUUUAAUGUUUGAAAUGAUUCUUCAGAUUCAGGGCUCCACCCAAAUUUCACUUCUUUCUUUAACAACUCCGUGAUUGGCUUGGAAAUUUUUGAGAAGUUAGGAAUGAACCUACGGUAAUACCCGGCCAUUCCCAAGAAACUUCUUAUUUCAUGGACAGAGGUUCGUGGUUUCCACUCCAAUAUGUCCUUGACCUUUUCGGGGUCUACUUCAAUUCCUUUUUCGGACAAAACGUGCCCAAGGAAUGGAACUUUCUUGAACCAGAAUUCACAUUUACUAAACUUGGCAUAUAACUGGUGUUCCCGGAGUCUAUUUAGAACAAUACGCAGAUGUUGCGCAUGUUCCUCUUCAUUUUUAGAGAAGACUAGGAUAUCAUCUAUAAAGACGACCACAAAUUUGUCUAAUUCAGGUAUGAAUACUGAAUUCAUGAGGUACAUAAAAUGCGCUGGGGCAUUUGUCAGUUCGAAAGACAUAACCAGGUAUUCAUAUAAUCCGUAUCGGGUUGAAAAGGCUGUUUUAGGUAUUUCUUCGGGCUUUAUCUUAAUCUGAUGAUAUCCUAACCAAAGGUCGAUUUUUGAAAAGACCUUGGCUCCAGCUAGUUGGUCGAAUAACAAGUCAAUCCGUUGCAAAGGAUACUUGUUCUUAAUGGUUACUGCAUUCAAAGGGCGGUAAUCCACACACAACCUCAAUGUGCCAUCUUUCUUUUUAACAAACAGUGCAGGGCAGCCCCGUGGUGAAGUGCUAGGUCGGACAAAACCUUUAUCUAGCAAUUCUUGGAGUUGGACUUUUAAUUCUGCUAACUCCUUAGGUGGCAUUCGAUAUGGCCUUUUGGAGAUAGGAGCAGUGCCAGGUUCUAACUCAAUAGUAAAUUCUACCACUCUAUCAGGCGGUAGUCCAGGAAGAUCUUCUGGAAACACAUCUACAAACUCAUUAACCACAGGAAUAGAUUCUAGAGUCACUGCUCUAGUCUUUUUAACCAUCUGGUCCAGACAAGGACGAGCAGGUAAUUGGAGCUUAAAAGAAUGGCCUCGGUCAUCUUUCAUACUAACGAUCCGGUUAUCCACAUCAAUUUGAACUUUAUGUUCCUUCAUCCAAUUUACCCCCAAAAUAAUAUCUAUUCCUUGAUCUUCCAAAAUUAAAGGAUAAGCACCAACCUUAUUUCCUUCUAAAUUCAAAAUCACAUUGCGAGCUACCUGAUUUGUAUUUUGAGUAGCUCCAGUAGCUUGAAUAGCAUAUUUGACAUUUAAGGUGUGCACUUCUAGUUGGUGUUGCUUAACAAACCCUCUACUUAUAAAAGUAUGUGAUGCACCCGAAUCAAAUAGAAUCAUGGCAGAGUAAUCAUUGACAAGGUAUAUACCUGCCAGAAUAGGUUCACCUUCUAGGAUCUCUUCUACAUUCAUAUAGUGAGCCUGUCCCGUCUUGGUAUUCAGAAAUUUGCGGCGAACAAACUUUUGUCCGGCGCCCUGACCAGAGUUUUGAGCCCUCAAAUUCGCGUUUCCCCCAGCUUUGGGAAAACGGCAAUCCCGAGCAAAGUGUCCUGGCUUCCCACAGUUAAAACAAACCUGUGAAUUCUCCUGAGGAGUAGGGCUGCAAAACCCACAAGGCGGCGCAUUUCCAGGGCGAGGAGUAUUGAUAGGAUUUCUGAUAUUCCAGGGCUGAAAUGGCCUCUGCUGAAAAGAAGGCUGGUAAGCGGGUCGAGGAGGACCUCGGUAUACUACCUUCAUCCUCUGCGGGGCAUUCCCGAAGGUUCCAAAAGAAAUAUUCUUUCUCUUCAAAGAUUCUUCUUUCUUCAAAGUUUCAUCUAAAAUUCUCAUUUUCUCUUCUGCAGUAAUAGCCGUGCUUACCGCAGAACUAUAAUCAGCAAAGGUGCAGGUAGACAACUUCUCCUGCAUCCGUGCAUUAAGCCCGCGAAGAUAACAGUCCCUCUUUCUGGACUCCGUGUUAACAUGUUCCGGGGCAUACUGGGCCAAGUGAUCAAAUUCAUUUGUAUAAUCCAGAAUACUACGAGUCCCUUGCUGCAGCCCUAGAAAUUGCUCCAGCUUCAUUCGCAUAAUCCCUUCCGGUACAAACUGCGUUCGGAAAGCUUCCUUGAAGUUUUCCCAAGUAACCUCCCUUCCGACAGGUUGCCUUGACAAAUAACUGGUCCACAAGGUCCCAGCAAGACCCUGGAGUUGGAGCCCGGCAAACUCCGCCUUCUGGGUGGGGGUGCAUUGUGGAAUUACUCGGAAUUUCUGCUCCAUUGUCUGGAGCCAUUCAUUAGCCUCUAGUGGGUGCUCGGCUUUCAGGAAUAUUGGAGGACGAGUUUCCAGAAAUCGGGUGUAAGAUACACCACGUUCUGGGUCCCGUCGGUUUCCACCAUUACCAGUGUUUUGCACAAUCAUCUGAAGCAAUCGGGCUUGUUCGGCUCCUGAAUUCAUGAGGCUGGCUAUGGCAUCAGCCAGUGUUGGGGCUCUGGGUAAGUUUUCCUCGUGGCCCCCUGACCCCGAAGCUCGAGGACCUCUCGGAUCCGUCAUGCUGUCAAAAUCAAAUAGAGUACUAAUAUCUAAGUCAUAAUUUGCCAGCAGUUCCAUAAGCAUGCUUGUGUUUCACACAUCACAACAUAACUAUCGUAGUUACACACAAACCAUACUUAUAUACAUUAUUAUUUAUAUUACAUGACCCGGAGUUUAAUUUUUACAAAGCCACCACACUACUCCGUCCCACUUCGUUUAUCUUACAUAAAUACACAACAACGCUUCUUGGCUAUGAUCUUUCCUCAGCCAUCAUAGGGAUAAAUGCCCAACUCUAUAGCAUUUAUUCCUAGUCGGGCCAUUGCAGCCUGCAGAACAUCCUGAUCCACCGUCAUCAAUGUCUGUCCCGGAGGAGCGACAGGUGGGGGCUGAUUUACUAAAUUCUCGCUUUCCGACUCUGGUCCGGGGUCAGUUGAAGUGUAGGAGGUAUAUGAUGCAGAGGUGCUGACACCAGAAUUUCCUUCCAUUUCUUCUGGAUCUUCUUCUUCUUCCUCGCCUUCCUGCUCGGCUUCUCCCCACUAUUGCAUAGGUCCAUAGCCUUGUGGAUCUAACCCGUCUGCAUUUGCAUCGGCCCAGGCAAAGUGAUGGUUUUGCAUUGGAGCUUCACGCAGAUUAUCUUCCAUAUCGAUAUGAAAACCUUCUAAAUUUUCAUGAGCAUACAAGUCGAUCUCGGGAGCUGCAGGUGGAGCCAUAUCACCCUCAACACCUACAAUAUCCACCAAUUGAUCUGCUUCUUCUGGGACCGUCGGCUGUGGUUCUUCUGGUGGUGGAGGCGGUGGAACAUUUACUAUGUUCUGGGUAGGUACCUGAGCCUGCAUUUCUUCUAAGGCCAGACGAAGAGAUAAUAUUUCGUCCAGCUGCUGAAAUCUCUCCGCCUCAAGCCUAUUAACAUUGGAUUUAGCCUCUUUCUUUGCCCUUUCUACCGUGUUCCUACUAGCAUCCAUGAAUUCCUUCAUUGCCCUGAGCUUCUCUUCAUAUUCAUCUAUCCUCCUGGACUGUUCUCUCAUAAUCUUCUCCAUGUCAUGUUCCCUAGCCAGUGCUGCUUUCUUGUACAAUUCUUUAUCGUGUCUGGCACCCAUUACUUCCAUCUUGACAUCCUCAUUCUUCUUUCUCUGAUUAUAAUAUUCCCUGAUGCAGGAUUGAUGCAGGUUAUACAUAGCAGUCAUAUAGUCAGAGGCAGCAGCAACCAGGACGUCAUGCUCCACGUGAGAGGAAUUCUUCAGUGCUUUGAUCCUCCUUUUCCAAAUCCCAUCGUCUUGAUGCCUUAUGGGAUAGAAUCGAGCAGAGAUCAACCCUAUUUCCACCUUAUGUUUCUCACAUAGGUCCGUGAGAGCGGUCAUAGCUGCCCUUUCAAUUGUAUCAUUGAACUCAAAACCCUGCUCCAUAAUUUCAUCAAGACGCCAAUUGGGGUUUGUGUCUUCAUCUGGGAUAUGGACAUAAACAGUACAACACUGCUUAUGACAGGUAUCCUCUUUCCUCCAAUAAUACUCUGGUAGAUUAUGAAAGCCUAGCUCUUGCAGUGUCUUCCAUAACAACUGAACAAACCCUGGCUUGUCCAGGUAAUAUCCCCGGGUCCAUCCGUCCUGAUCUGUGUAUCCUUCUUGGAAUAUCCUAUAAAAGAAACGGGGUUAGGUCUAACGGCACUCACCAAACCCAAAAGUUUUUAAGACAUGCUUAUGCAACAUGAUGCAACGACUCCUACGUACUUACAGACUCAUAUACACACUCGUAGAAAAAUUGGUGGCAUUGUAAUCUCUCCCUAAUAAUAUACUAUCGAGUACUAGCGACACGCAACAAAUAGUUAGCAUAUGCAAAACAAACAACCGGUUAAUACUACUGCCACCUAUGACUCACGUUUUCUUUGUUUAAAAUAGAGUCUCAGUUUUUAAAUAGUAAUAUCUGUUGAUUAUCACAACCUAUGGCUCUGAUACCAGCUGUGGCGGAACCGUCCAACUUAAACUGGUUUAAAUGCGCCCAAUCGCUGUCGGAACAGCAAUUAUCCGAAACGCACUUAAAACAGUAUAAGUCCGGUCGUCCGUCGAGUGUCCCCAGGACUCCUCGAACGAUCCACGUUACGUCUCAUAGCCAUACACCAGGAUUGUUUCCACGAUGGGAAAGCAUCAACAAAUAUUACAUUUUUACAUACAUACAUAAGGUACGAGUUAUUAUAGGAUGAAGUUUGAAGUAAACUUAACAGUGCAGGUCAGAGAGAGAUUCUAGGAUUUAAAACAUAAACUGGUUCAGGUGGGAGAUGAGCAUUUAAGUUUUCUUCUAAGGGUAUUGCGAGACUCAUAACAAUACCCUAAUUUUUCGGGGCUUCCUCCUCGGCGGACUCCUGCGGUGCCUCUGAAAAUAGUCACAAGGGAUAACCCUGAGUACGGGGUACUCAGCAAGGCGUACCCGACUAACCAAUAUAAUAGCUUUUCUAGAACUAUAUGAUAGCUUUUUCGGUGUACUGGCUGACACACUUUUUUGCCCAAAGAGCUUACCAAAACUGAGGCCUUAGCUUUAUCUUUUAUUCCAAUUAAGUUAUUACUUAACCAUUCUAAAUGAUGACAAGAAUGAUUAUUUUGCAAGCAACAAGGUAUUAAGCCAUACACCAAUCAUUAGUGGAAAGAUAUUGCAAUUAUGAAUUUAUACUACGAUGCUCAAUAGUGAUCAAGUGCAUUCAUAACCGAGAAUUGCGGCGAUCCGGAUCAAAAUUACAUCCUGCAGGAGAGUACUCUGAUCACCAGUUACGUACGACUGUCCAGAUCGUACGUAACGACCUUUCGAUUAGUAAACCCAAGGAUUGGGAAUAAGACUACCCAGACCCAGGGACGCACCCCCACAUGAGACCCGACGUCUGGCCUGAUCUCCAUGUGAGUUUCAAGCUACGUCCCUGCCAAUCUCCAGCACGUCAAGCACCGGUACGAAGUAUUCCCGAUCAGAGAGCUUAUUAACCUACCGGGCUUUACUGGUCCCAUACCCAGUAAGUAAUCAGGUGUCAUUCACUUGAUCAAAGGUUAAGACAACGAUCGGGCCUUAACCAAAUUAAUCUAGCAGACAGAACUACAUCCUUAGCUUCUGUCCGCCUUUCAACUUCCAAGCUACCUUUCCGUAAUUAGCAUGUAUGACCCAAGAUUUCUCCUUAAGGUUCAGUAAACAGAUUACUUAGGCAACUAAGCAAUUCUAGACUUGGGUUACUUACUAAAUGUUUGAACAAGUAGCAAAGAUGUCCUUAAAACAAGGUAUGAUAAUGCACAAGAAUGGGUUUCAAUCAACUCCUAGACGUAGUGCAUUCAUAUAGAAAAUAACCGAUAAUUGGACACAUGAAAUAAUAAUUCCAAAAUAGAUAGGUAUAAUGCACCGGGGCUUGCCUUGUUCUAUAAAAAUGUUAGCACUGUCCGAUGGAUUGGCUUCGCAGGGAAUCAACUCAAUGAUCUCUUCAAACUCCGGAGAUCCUUCUGAAAAUUCCAAGAAAUCCUCUUCCGGUGCUUCGGUGUCUAUGAUAAAGCAUAUGCAGGGGUUAGUGAUGCAACUUUUUGAAUACAAGACUAUACAACUUUCCUUCACGAUAAAGUUGCAAGCCAACAAGGGACUACAUAAUUUAUCAUGAUAAAGUUGCAAGUCAAGACACAAAAACCCAAAAGAUUAAUCCACCAUUUUUAUUUCCUUUACUAACCUUACCUUAGGCUUUUUCUUUUAUUUUUAGAAAAUGUUAUAAUUAUUUUCUAGUCUUGAAACCUAAUUUCCUAUGAGUUAAUAAUAAUUUGUGAUUAUGAAAAUGUUAUUCCAUAUUUUAUGCAUUUAAUAAAGGUUAAGUAUUUAUUUAAAUACCUUAAAGAAAAGGCAUUAAAAAAAUACCUAAAUUUUUAUUAUUUUUCUUAGGGUAUAAAAUUUUAAUGCAUAAAGGAAAAUAAAACAAUCCUAACAAAAUUGGUUUCACUAAUUUUGGACACCCCUAGAAAUUUCUGUGAUUUAAAUGGUGAUAUUUGGAUUUAAUCUAUUAUUCUAUGAAGAAAAUCUAAAUUUUUCCGAAAAACCCCGGCCUACUUUUCUCACUCACUUCCUUCCUACCCCCUCUCUCUUACACUGGGCCUGCAGCUCAAACCCACCUCUUCUCCUAUUCCUUGUACCCGUCGGCCCCUUAUUCCUCUGCUGGGCUCACUGGGCCGAUUUCUUCUUCCCUUCUCUCUUUUUAUUUUUCUUAACCCGGUUUUGGC